AUAUAUAUAAUCGUAAACAGGCUGCUUCCAUUUGGCACUGUUUAUCUUGAGGCUGCGGCCACAAAAAAUAUAGCCAAAUCUCUCUCGAGUCUCCAUCUCUCUCCGUUUGUUUUAUUACUAUUAUAUUAUAAUAUUAUAUUUGAUGCAAGUGAUGAGUAUUAUUUAAUCAGAUUAUGAGAAGCUCGCUUUAUGCGAACCAUGUUUAUUUCUCGUACUUCCAUGACUCUGAUGCAUCUCUUCGUAGUUCGUACUUGCUGGUUUUUCCUUUUGGAAAACAAAUCUAGUUUUUUCUUCUGGUAUUAUGUGUUGUAAUAAUUCUAAUUGAAUAUUGUUUUGUACUAUUUUCUAUUCAGAUGUCUUCAAAGAUUUCUUAUAAGAUCCACUUGGCAGGAGGUGUGACAUGAUGACUGGUGAUGUUUCUGAUCCUCACCUUUCCUGCAAUACCAUCUACGGAAGAACCUCCAGCAUAGAGAAGAUUUUCGUGAACAUGAAGAGACUGAACAAUUUGUUUCCCCAGAAGUUUUCUUGCACCAGAGUAAAAUACGGUUGAUGUAUGCUUCUGUAAAUCGACCUCCUAUUUUUGGCAGGGACCAAAAAUUUGUUCACAGCAUUUGUAUUAGAUUCAAUAUUGUUAUGUAUGAGUUGAAUUUAUUUGUAAUGUUCCUAACUUAAAAGAUUUGAUCAAGUGGUAGAAAAACGUUUCAGGAAAGGGGCUGACCUGGAUACUGAAAGCACUGCAACCACAGUAGAGUUUAUCGCCCAUCAUGGCAAGGCAUUUGACAGUUUUGUUAAAGUUGAUAUGCUUUGUGACACCUGACCAGUUAUAGAUCUGCCACAGAUAAUGAUGAUUAUUAUGAAGUGCAAAGCAUAAAACUGUAAUUUAUCAAAUGAUGGUAAGAUAAAUGCCACUAACCUUAACUCCUGUUCCUUGAGGGGCAAAGCAUGCCAUACUGUUAUUUGCUACUAACUCGAGUACUGGCUCCUUUACAUCAUGGACCUGAACACAGUGUAUUUCUUCUUGUUUCAUUGCCCAGACCUGUAGAGAGAUAUGGCAUAGAUGUUUAGAAUGCUUUGGUGUAUAGACAUUUGAAGUGUAUACAUGACUGGUAAAGGACCCUGUAAUGUGAUUCUGAGCAACCGCAUUAUGACUUCA